rnacentral:rRNA from 45 species
UCAAACGACUCUCGGCAACGGAUAUCUCGGCUCUUGCAUCGAUGAAGAACGUAGCGAAAUGCGAUACUUGGUGUGAAUUGCAGAAUCCCGUGAACCAUCGAGUCUUUGAACGCAAGUUGCGCCCGAGGCCAUUAGGUCGAGGGCACGUCUGCCUGGGCGUCACA